rnacentral:tRNA from 1 species
GGGAUAGCUCAGCUGUAGAGGAGAGACUGA